CUGUGCAAUUGGGGAAAUGUGCAAAGAUACUUGGAAAUGAAGCCAAAUUUUUUUCAGCCCUUUUCCCACUGGAAAUCAGGCCCAAGGUCUUAUGAAAACAGACUUUCUUUUCAAACAUCAGGAGGAAAUACUGCAAGAAGGAUGCCCAUGGCACUUUGAAUGUUCCGGAUCCACCAAUAUCAGAAAGAUCUUCAGUGAGGUGGAGGAGCAGCGCAGUGGCCAAGAGAAAGAUGGGAUUGACAGAGGGAAAUAAAAAGAACUCUGAAAUGUAAUAGACUGGAUAAUCAGGAUACAGUAGGCCAUGGUCACAUUUGAGCUCCAGGUGGUGUCUGAUUGACGUGGAAACAGUGCAAUAGGGGAAAAUUUUGCCCUCACAUUUCCUGGCAACUUUGGGUUCAAAGAUAUUAGCUGUUACUUGAUAUUCCUACUGGCAAAAAUGAAGGGCAUGCCUCUGUUAACAAAGCAUGAAAUGUCAUGUGCUGUCUCUAUAAUGCCAUAAAUAAAAAUAAGUCAUUGAUUCCAUAGAAGAGCAAGAAAAAAGAGCAGGAAGAGCAUAAAUGUUAGUUACCAUAUUUCUCCGUCAUCCGUGUCAUGUGAUGGGGCAGAACAUGUCACCAGGCAACAGCAACAUGGGGCUGUUUCUUGGCCCUCUCAGCUCCGGGACUGGGAUAAUCUAUUAAAUCAUCUCACAACUUUGUGGGUAUUCUUGAGCCCUAUUCAUCCUCUUUGGUUCCGAAACUGAUUUACAGAAGGGGGACUCUGAGUAAUCUGUAAAGUACUGUUUAUCUACAAGAUUUUGGUAUGCUAAGCCUGAAUCAGCAAUUAGGUUUAAUGCCUUGCUUGAAAAUGGAACCUGUAGCAAAAGUGAAUGUGCUAUGCUGAAAAGAGCAUUUAAAAAAUAAUCUCAGCUGGGUGUGGUGGCUCAUGCCUGUAAUCCCAACACUUUGGGAGGUCAAGGCAGGAGGAAUGCUUGAGGCUAGGAGUUUGAGACGAGCCUGGGCAACAUAGUGAGACCCUAUCUCUACAGAAAAUACAAAAAUUAGCCAGGCAUAGUGGCACAAGCCUUUAAUCCCAGUAAUCUCAGCUACUCAGUAGGCUGAGGUGGGAGGAUCACUUGAGCCCAGAAGGUCAAGGCUGCAGUGAGCCAUAUUUGCACCACUGCACUCCAGCCUGGGCAACAGAGUGAGGUCCUGUCUCAUAAUAAUAAUAAUAAUUUAAAAAUAAUUGUAAUUGUUACUCUAGUGAUACAAGCCAUGGACGAUAGUAGGAAAGUGAAUUACACAUGCAAAUAUGGAUAAGGGGGGCACUGCAUUAUAAGAAUCACAUGCGUUUAGGAUAAGGGGCUACUUAGAGAAGGGGAGUUUCUCUGUAAAUAACACAAAUAGAGAGUUUUUCUCUAACUCAUCUGGUUGCUUUUCCUCACUAGAACCUGUACUUUGAAUAUUCCUUUGUUUUUUUUUUUUUUUUUUUUUUACUUUUAUCAUUUGAUCUAAAGACACUAACAUUUUAUGAAAAAGCAUGGCUUACAUGGGAUUCUUUCCAAAUUGUUUUAUUUUUAUAUUACCACUUCCAUUUGUUAUAUUUCUUUCUAAACAAAGAGUCUCAAAGCACAUUACAACACCAAAUUCAUUAAUCUGAAUGUAUGGUGAACCACUUGUUUGCCAUUUCAUGAACACAAUUACUCUUACUUUUACCUCCCCAUAGUGAUUCAGUGUUAAAAAAUGAUAACAGAACCCAGUCUCCCCUUUAUUCCCCAGCUCAGGUCCAACUUUGAUUACUUAGCACAUGCCACCACUUCUAGGCAUUAAAUUGAAUUUUUCAACAGUGAAUCAAUUAGCACACAUUCUUUGUUGUGGUUGAGGAGGGUGUGUCAAUAACAGAGAAACAGGAUGGAGAAGAGUUGAGGGAAACAGGUUAUUUUAUCUUUCAAAGACAAAGUUCUGUGCAAGGAAGCGUCUUGGUGCUCAUUAGGAACACAAACCUCCAUACAUGCAUGAAGAAUGGGAGCAAAAGGAAUUUCAAUCCCUUUUUCAUGAAAUCUGACCCAGAGUUGAACAAAGAGAAUUCUAAAUCUUUUGCAUAUGCCAUUUUUAGGGGCAGACAUCAAUCUUUUCCCCCCCUCUCUUGUGUUCCUUGAACACAAAGAAUUAUUGAAACUGAACUUGUUCAGGUUUUUAUAAAUCAAGAUGUCAACAAAUACAAGCACUAGUCUAGUUACAACAAGAGAUUGUAGUUUAUAGAAUAAAGCUAACCUUUUUUUUAUUUUAUUUUAAGCUCUACAAAGAACGCAUUGUUUAUUCUUAUGUAGAAACGUCAUGUAAAGCAGCUCUCUGUCAGGUAUUCUAUUUUUAUUUAGUUGUUUCAUAACUCAAUUAUAAUGUUUCCCUUUACCUAAUAAUUAGGAGAUACAGAGUAACAAGGCUGGAAACCUCUUCUUUAC
ensembl:lncRNA